GCAGUCGAGGGGUAUAGUUCUUCGGAACUAGAGACCGGCGCACGGGUGCGUAACGCGUAUGCAAUCUACCUUUUACAGAGGGAUAGCCCAGAGAAAUUUGGAUUAAUACCUCAUAGUAUAUAGCCCUGGCAUCAGGAUUAUAUUAAAGUCACAACGGUAAAAGAUGAGCAUGCGUCCCAUUAGCUAGUUGGUAAGGUAACGGCUUACCAAGGCUACGAUGGGUAGGGGUCCUGAGAGGGAGAUCCCCCACACUGGUACUGAGACACGGACCAGACUCCUACGGGAGGCAGCAGUGAGGAAUAUUGGACAAUGGGCGCAAGCCUGAUCCAGCCAUGCCGCGUGCAGGAUGACGGUCCUAUGGAUUGUAAACUGCUUUUAUACGAGAAGAAACACUCCUUCGUGAAGGAGCUUGACGGUAUCGUAAGAAUAAGGAUCGGCUAACUCCGUGCCAGCAGCCGCGGUAAUACGGAGGAUCCAAGCGUUAUCCGGAAUCAUUGGGUUUAAAGGGUCCGUAGGCGGUUUAAUAAGUCAGUGGUGAAAGCCCAUCGCUCAACGGUGGAACGGCCAUUGAUACUGUUAGACUUGAAUUAUUAGGAAGUAACUAGAAUAUGUAGUGUAGCGGUGAAAUGCUUAGAGAUUACAUGGAAUACCAAUUGCGAAGGCAGGUUACUACUAAUUGAUUGACGCUGAUGGACGAAAGCGUGGGUAGCGAACAGGAUUAGAUACCCUGGUAGUCCACGCCGUAAACGAUGGAUACUAGCUGUUGGAAGCAAUUUCCGUGGCUAAGCGAAAGUGAUAAGUAUCCCACCUGGGGAGUACGUUCGCAAGAAUGAAACUCAAAAGGAAUUGAC
rnacentral:rRNA from 1 species